rnacentral:rRNA from 1 species
GACGAACGCUGGCGGCGUGCUUAACACAUGCCAGUCGAACGGAAAGGCCCUGCUUGCAGGGUACUCGAGUGGCGAACGGGUGAGUAAUACGUGGGUGAUCUGCCCUGCACUUCGGGUUACGCUUGGGAAACUGGGUCUAAUACCGGAUAGGAGCCAUCUUUAGAGUGGUGGUUGGAAAGUUCUUUCGGUGUAGGAUGAGCUCGCGGCCUAUCAGCUUGUUGGUGGGGUAAUGGCCUACCAAGGCGGCGACGGGUAGCCGGCCUGAGAGGGUGUACGGCCACAUUGGGACUGAGAGACGGGCCAGACUCCGACGGGAGGCAGCAGUGGGGAAUAUUGCACAAUGGGCGCAAGCCUGAUGCAGCGACGCCGCGUGAGGGAUGAAGGCCUUCGGGUUGUAAACUCCUUUCGCUAGGGACGAAGCGUUGUUGUGACGGUACCUAGAUAAGAAGCACCGGCUAACUACGUG